CAAGUCGAACGAGAGUAGCAAUACUCCAGUGGCGGACGGGUGAGUAACGCGUGAGAAUCUGCCUUCUGGUCGGGGACAACCACUGGAAACGGUGGCUAAUACCGGAUGAGCCGAAGGGUAAAAGAUAAAUUGCCAGAAGAGGAGCUCGCGUCUGAUUAGCUAGUUGGUAGGGUAAAAGCCUACCAAGGCAUCGAUCAGUAGCUGGUCUGAGAGGACGAUCAGCCACACUGGGACUGAGACACGGCCCAGACUCCUACGGGAGGCAGCAGUGGGGAAUUUUCCGCAAUGGGCGAAAGCCUGACGGAGCAAGACCGCGUGAGGGAAGAAGGCUCUUGGGUCGUAAACCUCUUUUGUUAGGGAAGAACACAAUGACGGUACCUAACGAAUCAGCCUCGGCUAACUCCGUGCCAGCAGCCGCGGUAAUACGGAGGAGGCAAGCGUUAUCCGGAAUUAUUGGGCGUAAAGCGUCCGCAGGUGGCUAUUCAAGUCUGCGGUCAAAGACUGGGGCUUAACCCUGGAAAGGCCGUGGAAACUGAAGAGCUAGAGUGCAGUAGGGGGUAGAGGGAAUUCCCGGUGUAGCGGUGAAAUGCGUAGAGCUCGGGAAGAACAUCGGUGGCGAAAGCGCUCUGCUGGACUGCAACUGACACUCAGGGACGAAAGCUAGGGGAGCGAAUGGGAUUAGAUACCCCAGUAGUCCUAGCCGUAAACGAUGGAUACUAGGUGUGGCUUGUAUCGACCCGAGCCGUGCCGUAGCUAACGCGUUAAGUAUCCCGCCUGGGGAGUACGCUCGCAAGAGUGAA
rnacentral:rRNA from 1 species